AUUAUCUUCAUUUCCCUAAUUGUUGGUUCCAAAAUGUAACACCCCGUAUUUUUUUUAUACCCGUUAAAUAAUUAUCUGUAUUAAUUUAUUUAAUGAAAAUGAUUUCAGAUUUCUCUUAUUAAUAAUAUAUUUUUUUUACUAACUUUGACUUUACCUUUGAAGUGGUUAAAAAAGAAAAAAACUGAUUCCUAGAUUUACUAGGUUACUAUCUAAUACUUAUCACUAUAUUAGGAGAGAGAAAGUGAAAAAAAAAAAAAAAAACUAAAAGAACACAAAGCAGAAGAAGUUCUGCUUACCUCCUCCAAGGCUCCAACGUGAGUAUUCUUCCAUCUACAAAAAAAAAAUUCCCUUAACCUUCAACAUCAUAGAUGUUACUAAAAUCUUCAUCUUCCAUCUUCACACUUCAAGUCUUAUCCAUUCUUCUUCAAUAGCUUCAGUUUUUGUGAGUUUUCAAAGGGGUUAUUAGUGUGCUUUGGUUUGCGAUUUCGGGUCAAGAAUCGAAUCAAAGGGCGGUUUUUGGGGUUCUUCUUAUAGAGUCAUCUCAUUAUAUUACUUUUCCUAAUCAAAUUGCGGGUUCGUAGAGGAACCUUUUUGACUUGAGAUUGAGAUUUGCUAACUUUGAUUGCUGAUAAGGGACUUGAAGAUAGUUAGCUCCAGUUGGGUUAAAGAGUGUGUUGGAUCCAUUUUGAUUUAGUAGGACUUUAAAAAGACUUCCGCUGUUAUUUAUUUAUAGGAUUAUGUUCUGGUUUGUAAUAAUUAACUUUACAUUCUAUUUAGUUGGUCUGUAAUAAUUAGUUAAAACUUUUGGUUAUUGUUUUAGUUAGAACCAUUAGCCUUGCGGUUAUUAUUAUUAAUUAUCGCGGCGUAGCACCUUUGGAUUUCCGAGUUAAUUUUAUUAAGUUGAUUUUAGAAGUAUUGGAAA